rnacentral:lncRNA from 1 species
CUCACCUACCUCUUUUAGAUUAUAACUUGAGCAUUAAAGUAUUUGCAAGUGGUGACCACCAAGCUCCUCCUCGAAAUUGUCAUGAUGUCAUUGUUCUUUUCCCACCAUCGGACACCAAAAAUUGCAUUUAUGUUUGAAGAAUCCAAUUUGGUUCAUCCCAAAGACAAUAGUGUCGUCCAUCAUAAUCGACUUUCCUUCCUUUCUUUCAUCACAAGAACAUUUUAAAGACAAAAAUCACAAGAAGAGAGGUCGAAUUGUGAUUAAAAAAUUUCUCAAAUUUUUUUGCAAGGAAAGCUAUUGUCUGAUUUACGAAAGAGUUUUAACAAAAACCAAGUUAGACGAAACAUUGGAUAGUCAUGCGCCCUACGUGUAUUGUUAUUGCCUUAUAACCUAGCUUGUAUUUCACGAUAAUCAUUUACGACUUCCCCCGUGCACUCAACACACAAAACACACACAUAAAGCAUCUUAUGCUUCAAGUUUGUAAUCUGACCCUUGAGAAAAUUGAUUAACAAACAUUGGAUAGUCACACAUCGUACGUGUAUAACAAUUGCACUGUCAUGUGGCAUGUAUUUUGCAAUAAUAUCAACGACUUUCUUAUGCAUUUGACAUGUAUAUAAGACAUCAUAUGCCUCAGGUUUGACAUCUAACCCUUAAGAUAAUUGACAAACAUUGACUAGUCAAGCAUUCUGCAUAUGUAUAACUUCACUACUAUGUAGCUUGUAUUUCACAAUAAUCAUCAUAGGUUUUCGCCACAUAUUUGACAUAUAUAUAAGUAAUCCUACGCCUUAAGUUCAUCAUUUAACCCUUAAGACAAUUAACAAACAUUGACUAGUCAUGCAUUCUUUGUGUAUUGUAAGUACAUAGCCAUGUGGCAUGUAUUUUGCAAAUCAUUAACAACU